GGAGAGCAAAUGUGAAGGAACAAGGGAAAGGGAAAGGGAAAGGGAAAGAUAGAUAGAUAGCUUGCUUGCUUGCUGCUCUUCCCUUUCCCACCUCAAGAUGAUGAGGCUGAGGCUGAGGCUGAGGCAGCAGCAACAGCAGCAUCGCAGUUCCCUUUCUUCUUCUCUUCUUCUUGCUUUCCCACGAAACAAGCAAGGAAUAAUAAUCUGGAGGAGGAAGAUAUGGUCACCAUAACCAUAUAAAACUCCCACAAUAUCUCGAUGCGGGGAUUCAGAAAUGAUUUAAUUGGAGCACGAAUCCUGACUGCAGCGACCACUAUGGAUUCGGUCGCAGCUGCCAUUAGUACUAUAUAAAAUUGGGCAGCACUUUGCAUGCCCAACAUGGGGCCUAUGUGUAGGCUCCCAUGUUGCCUUCUCCUUCUUCUUCUUCUUCUUCUUCUUCUUCUUCUUUCUUCAUGUGCUACAAUCACAUCUGAUGCCCUAAUCCCAACAGCUCUAGAUCGAAUCAGGUGAUCACGAAUCUCAAGGACUCUCGGAUAUAUGUUUUAACAUUUGGCUCUCACAAAGUGCUCCUCCGAGAUAGAUGCCUUUGCUUAUUCCAUUUGGUUUAGUUUACGAGACACAACACGUGGCAGCACAGUGAGAUUGUGAUCAGCCGCCCCCAAUGGCAAAUUCCCAUCUCCCACUAAUCAUCCUUCCAUCUUUCUUUCUACAUCCAACUUUUAGUCUUCAUCAUCCUCGCAAGCCAAUACAAGUAAUGUAUAAUUGUGUUGUUGCAUGGUUGCUGUUCUUUCUUUUGUGCUUGUUCAUAUACUACUAUAGCUAAAAGAGGUUUGCAGGCAUCUGCUAGAUUCUCUUGCUCUUGUUUUUUAUCUAAUCACAAAAUAUGACCAAUUGUUUACCCCAAAGUGAGAAUUAUCUGUCACGGACGGACGAAGCUCACUAAUAAAUCUCGAGGAAUGUUGUCAGGGUGGUCCAAAGUCCAAACUAUGAUGUGAAGGGAUGAGGAGGCAUGUGCUUAGGAGGCAAAAGGCCUCCCCUCCCCUCCCCUCCUAUAGGAGAAUUUUAAGUCGAGGCUGUCUCAUGUGGAUCAUUAGACAGGGCUUGUUGUUGGUUUAAUCGAGUAGGAUUGUGGAACGCCAGCAUGAACUGCAAGCAAAUUGACUUUAAUCAAAAGUGGUUGGGUCUUAAACCAUUGCUUGCUGUGACGGCUAACUUUGUUUAUGCAUGAAAAAAGAUACUGAGAUCAGUUUCAUGUGAGAGAGUAUCUCAACUCCACCACCGAUCGUACACCGCCCUGAUUAAAUUGAGGCUUUUUUUGUUGUUGUUCUUCUUCUUCUUUUUCUUUGAAGGCAAGCCAUAAUUCUUUCUGGAAUUUGAUGCUCAUUCAGGAACACAGGCCGACGUUUACCCGACAAGGUACAAGUUGAUGGAGUUGCUUAGCAUCAUCAUCGAACACAAAGGGCAACGAUUAGAUGAUGGUGAUUUCAAUGCUGAGAGAAGAUUAGCAAACCAGCUCUUCACGGAAAGGAGGAGGGUUAUGAGAAGAUGAAAGCAACCGGUUCAGGAUUCAUUCCCUGUGCAUGGAUUACUGACUGCUAAAGCUUUGUUUUCUGCAACAAAAAGAUAAACUCCCAGGGCCAAGUCACCCCAAUGUCAAAAAGUUUUGGCAUGAUGUUAUGGAUUUGUAGCUAGCAUAGUCUUCUUUGAAGCAAUCAAAGAAGAACCACCAAGCAUCAUCUUUCUUGCAGAGAGAGUGUUGGCAGUACCAUGAACAAGAUCUGGUUUGCUUAAGAGUACCACCUAUAUACAUUAAGUUAUCUUUGAAGGAUGGCCACUAGCAUGAACCACUUUGUUAGAUGGAGAUGGUCUUGGGGGAACUAUGCUCGCUCUUAGUUUGAUGCCUAAACUAAGUUAUCUUUGGGAAAGUGGAAAAGGUUAAUGGAAUCCCACUAUAAUGAUGCUGAUGAUGAUCCUAUUAAAAAUUCUACUUGGAACAACUAGCCUUUAGCCUUUGGCAAAAGGUCUGAGAAAAGGGUGCCUAUUUUUAUUCCAGGGAAUGAAUGCAUCACUCAUCAUGCACAGGUGCUCUGGUUUUUGCUGCAAGUAAAAAGUUUUGGUGGGGAAGAUGCAACAUGAUUUCUGUGUCUGCAUUUAUCUUUUGCAAAGCUGUUUAUGAACAUAGCAGUUGGUGAUCUGGUUUCAUGAUUAAUUGGUGGCCUGGUAAUCAUUAGUCUCAAAGAACUUUGCUGUCAGGAAAUGGCUCGAUGUUACAUUUGAUUGAUCUCCAUCUAAAGCAACUCUUUCAUUAUUUGCUUGCUCAUGCAUUGUGGUAAACUUGGAUCCAUCCACCAUUUGGUGUAAAGCUUGAAGAAACAUGGCUGUUCAGUUGCCCAACUUGCAUGACAAGGUAAACAAAUUCAUCAUCUCAAUCAAUAUGCAAGUUGACACAUUUCCACACUCCUUUGUACUUGACAUGGCUAUGCCCAAGAUGGUUAAUAUUCCUUUUCUCAGCUAGCCAAUCCAUUGUGGUAUCACUUUCUCCUGUGCCUUGGACAGUCCAGUGCCUUUAGGACAUUGUCCAUCUGACAUGAUGUCUCAUGGAUUCUGUAUCAUGGAAACUGGUUAUGUUGCCUUCCUACAUGUGAUGCAAUUCUACUCAUUCCAAUAUUCAGAGCAUCUGCUUUAUAAAGGUCAUAUCUUUGGUUGGAUGAUCUCUUGCUGUCCCUACUGGUUGAGCUAAAACAAUGUGAGAAUGAUGCAAAGCUAACACUAUGACCAAUCAUGUGAACAAACUGAACAGACUUGGCAUCCACUCAAAGAAAGAAAAGAAUUCUAGAUGAUAACAUCAGCUGUAAGAACAACAAUGUUUGUUCUGCUAUGCCCAAAUUCAGAUCAGUUAAUAUUUUCCAGAUUGACUAGCGGGAAAUCCUUCAUCAACUUGAGCCUGGUGGUGGAAUGACAUCAGAUUGCUGGAAAAGCUGACAGAAAGAUCUCAAGUUUCGCCCCUCUGCCUUUAUUGGAGAUGUCUCAUUCCAUAUCCCUCAUGGUGUACUUCACUAUCUUAGUGGAUGUGGCUAUUCAUGCCUCAAUGAGUGGACCUCAAUAAUGUCAAGUGUGCAUCUCCUUCGCAUCACUAAAACAUUUACUAGGUUUAAGAUUGGAAAGAUCUGGUAGCUCUCUAUGGGAGAGUUGAACUAUGGAGUGCGCAGGCAGUGAGCUGUGGGUGUGUUCAGAUACUGUUCCAUUUUAGAUGACACUUUUCGUCUCUGACCAGAGUGCAAACUUAGGUUGUUGAUAGGUACUUUGAUGUAGAUAGUUGAAGAAUUAACCCAGAAUAAUCACAUGACUCUGGCAAAUCAAACCAGCUUCUCUCCAAGAACUUGUUAGGCUCCUUGGCAAUCCCAUGUAUGGAGAGAUAAGGAUCAAUUUGUUCUGCAAUCAUGCACCCAUCUGUCGGCAGGAACUCACCUGGUAAGUGCUCAAGAAGGUCUCAUAAGUCGUUAGUCAUGCACAAAAAAAGGAACUAUAAUCUGUAGCUUUGAAUGAUAUUAUUGGGUUGAACUAGUUUUGACAAAUAGUUUAGAAUGAUAUAAAAAUGUGAUCGCAACGACAUCCACAAGACCCUGCCUCUUGAUGCACAAGUCAACUGGAUGCUGAUUCUUCCACUCAUUUCUAAAACCAAGUUAUCUAGCAAAGAUAGAUGAUCAGUGAGCUAGCUUCUUGGUCAGAUUCCUACGGAUAAGUGUGAGUUUGAACACUUCAAACAAAGAGAGAGAAAAGCAUAUGUACCUAAAGAGGUUUGUAAGCCAUCAAGUCGCUUUCUUUCUUUCUUUGAAUUAUCUGCAGCUAACUUUAUGGAAUUGAGUUCAUAGAAUUGAUCCACUUUGACCUCCGAAAACCACAUUUUUUCUAUGUUUCACACAUUCAAGCCUAAUAGGGCACUCUGAUCAUGCAUAUCCGUGCUGAUGUUCAAAUUGACAGUGGAAAAAUAUGCAUCAAUUGAGAAGGAUUGGUUGAUUUGCAUAGACCGGCAAUGCCAGCCAUGUAUUCCUUACGCGUCUUUGGUUUUUCUCCCUUUAAAACCAAAGAUAAAAUUGGAAUAUUUUCAUCAGCAAUAUUCUCGGCAUGCUCUUUAACAAAAGCCAAAGUAUCAUCCAUCUUUCCCCUUACUCUACUACAUGACUAAGUUCCUUGGUGGCUUAAACUUGUGGUCCUGCCUUUUGAUCGGUCCUUAAGUUGCUGCAAGAGAGCAGGAAAAAAAGCUAGUGCUCUUUGAUGUGUUAUGUUCUUCGCUGGCCCAAGGAAUUUGGCAGUGUCUUCUACGAUUCGACAAUCAUGCAACAUACUUAGAGCAUUGAGUGAUCAUUUGUAUGUUGAGCUGACAACUCUUGAGGAUCAAAUUUCACAUCAUCUUCGACCAACAAGGAAAAGAAUACUAGUGCUUGGGAGAUCAUUACAAUUCUUUGUGCAUUGCUAUCUCAUGCAACAUUAAUGCUUUCUUGUUCUAUCUUAUCUUGUCUUAGCCCAGAACCUUUGCAUAGAAUUGAUAGUUUGGACUGUGGAUAAUGCUGAAUGAUUCCUCUUGUUGAAGGGGUUGUGCCAAGUGAUCUCCAAGAGAACUGUCAGCCACAAGUGAUGCCAUAUGAUCCACGGCUGAUGCUCCAAUUGUUCAUUAAAGCUCAGUAGUCACUACCAUGCCCCAUAUCAAGGAUCAUUGUCAGCUCCAAAAGAUCAGAAUCGAAUCUUUUGCCUUUUGUCAUGGAUAAAAGUUUGUGGUUAAUGAGAAGAGAUGUUAUACUUCAGUGGCACACAUGGGCUGAUGGAUUCUUCCCUAGAAUCCACACCUGCUGGGUCUGAUAAAAACCCAUUUCUGAUGCCUCUUAUGGUCUUUCCCAAUCAUCAAUUUGCCAAUGUUGGCAAAUCAAUCUUUGUAAUCAUAAUUACUACGACUCGCAUGAUCUCAGAAGUGACUGAGCAAGAUGCAGAAUACAGCUACCGCUCAUGCAUUAACCUAGUAGUGUGGUACUUGUUGACCUUUUCUGAAUCAAACUGCAGAUGUUCCAGUUCUGUUGGAGCUGGUUCAGGAGGAACUGCCCCUUACAAACUGAAUCCAAGAUCAAGUUAAAUAGGCUCGUUAAUCUAUCUGAUCUCUCCAUGAAUCAGCCCAUUAUGAAAACCACAAAGCCCGUUCCAGAUCAUGAUUGCCUCUGAGUGAGAAAAAUAAUGAUUCUGGAGUGUUGAGGGUUUGCAGAAACACUGCUGCUGUGCUUCAUACGUGCCGAUAUAAAGCCUUUAUGAAGUACACAAAUCUUUUCAUAUGUUCCCUGCCUGAGGUGUAGAUAUAUGCAAAUGGAGUUCUGCAAAGCAUAAAGAUCAAAUUUAGACUUUAGAAUUCUGUCACACACUCAUAGUAACCAGUUCUUCAAGAAAAAGCAGAGAGUGAGAGAGCAAGAGAGAGAGGGAUAGAGAAAAGAAAGAGACAGAUGAACACUAUCAAAUUGAUGCCACUACUACACACCCUUUGAAGCCAGCAGCAUGCAACAAGGUUGAAGUCUCCACCAGGUUGAGCAGAUUACAAUGGCAUGAAAAGAGGCUAUCCUGUUUCAAAUGGAAGCCUGAUCAAGGUUGGGAGUUGACAAG